CGGAGCAAAGCCCCACGGCUGAGAAGAGGAUCGCCUCGGAUGUUGAGCCCAACGCGUCAGACCAGGUGCGAGAGCCGGUGACAGUGCCCACCACGAGGGAGCAAGCCGUGGACGGUGUGAGCGCGGAGAGGAGCUCCGCCCCCUGCAUCAUGGCUGAGGGUGAGCGGACUAUGAAGGGAAUUCAGGGCCAAAAUGAGGAGGAGAGACCGCGGGAUCCCCAGUCCAGCCCAGGAAGGGCUUCUGAUGUUUCGUUUAGCCCAGGAAGGGCUCCUGAUCCCCAGUUCAGCCCGGGAAGGGCUCCUGAUCCCCAGUUCCGCCUAGGAAGGGCUCCAGCCCAAGAGCUCUCUCCAGUGCCCGCUCCUCAAAAAUACACGCCCUCCAACCCGCUCCGGCCUCCUCCAGCGCUCCACUGGGCGUCGACCCGCCAUCGCCUCUGGACUCCUCUCCUCUGGCUGCGCCUCGUCGCUCUGUCCUACCGGCUCCGUUGGGCUCCUUCCUCCCGUCAGCUCCACCUUGGUCCUCAGUCGCUCCGGCUCCGCCGCGGAUCUCUGGAUCUCGGCCUCCGCCUUGGUCGCCAGAGCCCUCGGCUCUACCCUGGCCCCCCGGAUCCUCGGCAUCCCCCUGGCUCGUUGGCUCUCUGUCUCUGCCACGGGCUCCUCCUCCACCUACUCCGCCGCCAUUGGCCGGCCCCCUGGAGUCGGUGGACAUUCCUCCCACCUGGCUCCUCCUCCUGCUCUGGUUCCCUCCUGUCGUCUCCCUGGCUCCUCCCUCCAUCGUCACCUCCCUGGACUCUGUUAGCCGUCCUCCUCCUGGAAGUCCAUCCUCCGCCGGAACCUCCACCUGUCAGCUCUGCCUGCCAGCCCUUUGCCUUCCCCUGUCACCAUCUCGCAUCCUCUGCUUUGUCCUCCUCCUCCUAGUCCCCCUCCGCCCCUCCCUCUCUUUCUACGGUGCGAGGACGCACCUUCUGGGAGGGGGGAGUAAUGUAACACCCCUGUGGACUGUUUGUUG
rnacentral:lncRNA from 1 species